GACGAACGCUGGCGGCGUGCUUAACACAUGCAAGUCGAACGGAAAGGCCCCUUUGGGGGUCCUCGAGUGGCGAACGGGUGAGUAACACGUGAGUAACCUGCCCUUGACUUCGGGAUAACUUCAGGAAACUGGGGCUAAUACCGGAUAGGAAUCCUUGCUGCAUGGUGGGGGUUGGAAAGCUUCGGCGGUUUUGGAUGGACUCGCGGCUUAUCAGCUUGUUGGUGGGGUAGUGGCUUACCAAGGCUUUGACGGGUAGCCGGCCUGAGAGGGCGACCGGCCACAUUGGGACUGAGAUAAGGCCCAGACUCCUACGGGAGGCAGCAGUGGGGAAUAUUGCACAAUGGGCGGAAGCCUGAUGCAGCAACGCCGCGUGCGGGAUGACGGCCUUCGGGUUGUAAACCGCUUUCAGCAGGGGCGAAGCUUGUGGUGACGGUACCUGCAGAAGAAGCACCGGCUAACUACGUG
rnacentral:rRNA from 1 species